rnacentral:rRNA from 1 species
UACGGGGGGGGCAAGCGUUGUUCGGAAUUACUGGGCGUAAAGGGCUCGUAGGCGGCCACCUAAGUCGGAUGUGAAAUCCCCAGGCUCAACCUGGGAACUGCAUCCGAUACUGGAUGGCUUGAAUUCGGGAGAGGGAUGCAGAAUUCCAGGUGUAGCGGUGAAAUGCGUAGAUAUCUGGAGGAACACCGGUGGCGAAGGCGGCAUCCUGGACCGGCAUUGACGCUGAGGCGCGAAAGCCAGGGGAGCAAACGGG